GUCGGGAGUUAGGAAAUGUGAGUUCGAUAAUACCGGUCUCACUUGACAAAGGCUCCAAAGGAAGCCACGGCUAACUCUGUGCUAGCAGCCGCGGUAAUACAGAGGUGGCAAGCGUUGUUCGGAAUUACUGGGCGUAAAGAGCACGUAGGUGGAUUUGUAAGUCGGAUGUGAAAGCCUUCUGUUCAACGGAAGAAUUGCAUCCGAAACUGCAAACCUUGAGUAUAGGAGGGGAGAGUGGAACUUCUGGU
rnacentral:rRNA from 1 species